rnacentral:rRNA from 1 species
UGACACAGCCAUAUCACCCUGUAGCCCAAGACUGGUUGCCCACUGAAGCUAAGCAGGGUUGAGCCUGGUUAGUACCUGGAUGAGAGACCUCCUGAGAAAACUAGGUUGCUGCCUGCA